CACUGUAUAGGAACGCCUCUCGGCGUAAUAAUGAAGAGAGCAGCGGAGAAGAAAAGAUGAGAGAGUCGGGGAACAAAACGUUACGAAGAGAUGCCUUUGCCAACAGAGAUAGACGCACAAUCGUAUCUGAUUUCAGUAAAAGAGCAUUUCAAGGAUGAUACAGGAGAAUUUGCACAGUUUAUUCAAAUCUGCACAGAAGAAUUUGCACAGUUUAUUCAAAUCUGCACAGAAGAAUUCGCACAGUUUAUUCAAAUCCUCAAUGAUUUUGGGUCAAAGACCUGGUUAAGAGCCAUGAACUUCUUUUAAGUUGGAAUAAAUUCCUCCCAAAAGCCUUCGAAAUCUUGUGUCCUUCCAAAGAUUGUCUACGAAACAAACAGAGAUUUCAGCUUAAGGAAACCCUAAGAUAUAUUCAGAAGAUUAAGACGCCCUUCCAAAAUGAAGAAUAUAUACGCAAGGGAUUAUUUGAAA